rnacentral:rRNA from 1 species
UUUUGGGCUUGGUAAUUGGAAUGAGGGAGAGUUAAACGGACCAUCGAGUAUCCAUUGGAGGGCAAGUCUGGUGCCAGCAGCUGCGGUAAUACCAGCUCCAAUAGCGUAUAUUAAAGUUGUUGCAGUUAAAAAGCUCGUAGUUGGACUUGUGUGCGCUGUCCGGGUGGCCUGCGCCCAAAAGGGCGUUUCGGUUCGGCCCCGGUGGCGCCUUGAAAUCUGCAGCUGGGGGGACGUUGGCCUUAACUGGUCGGCGACCACACGCCGGCUGCUCGGUUACUGUGAGAAAAUUAGAGUGUUCAAGGCAGGCAUUGGGUGCAAUUGAAUACAUUAGCAUGGAAUAAUAAAAUAUGGCUCCUGCCGUAUUUUGUUGGUUUUGACUGGUGGGAGUAAUGAUUGAUAGGGACGGUUGGGGGUGCUAGUAUUGAGCGGCCAGAGGUGAAAUUCAUGGAUUCGCUCAAGACUAACUUAUGCGAAAGCAUUCACCAAGGACGUCCUCUUUAAUCAAGAACGAAAGUUGGGGGAUCGAAGACGAUCAGAUACCGUCGUAGUCUCAACCGUAAACUAUGUCGACUUGGGAUCGGCGGUAGUUUUUUCAUUAAGACACUGUCGGGACCACGGGAGAAAUCAAAGUGUCUGGACUCUGGGGGAAGUAUGGUCGCAAGGCUGAAACUUGAAGGAAUUGACGGAAGGGCACCACCAGGAGUGGAGCCUGCGGCUUGAUUUGACCCAACACGGGGAAACUUACCAGGUCCAGAGAUGUAGAGGAUUGACAGAUUGAAGCUCUUUCUUGAUCACUUCGGUGGUGGUGCAUGGCCGUUCUUAGUUGGUGGAGUGAUUUGUCUGGUUAAUUCCGUUAACGAACGAGACCUCAGCCUGCUAGUGUAGUCGGCUGGAUUGCCUUUGGCGAUCCGUGAUUUCGACUUCUUAGAGGGACAAUCGACGCGCAGUCGAUGGAAGUUUGAGGCAAUAACAGGUCUGUGAUGCCCUUAGAUGUUCUGGGCCGCACGCGCGCUACACUGCUGGGCUCAGCGAGUUUUACUUGGCCGAGAGGCCCGGUUAAUCUUGUGAAAUCCCAGCGUGCUUGGGCUCGCCUCCUGCAACUGGAGGCGCCAACGAGGAAUUCCUAGUAGACGCAGGUCAUCAACCUGCAUCGAUUACGUCCCUGCCCUUUGUACACACCGCCCGUCGUUCCAUAAGAGUGAGGCAUCCGGUGAAUUCUCGGGAGAGCCUGGGCGUGGCCAGCAAUGGUCUGCUCGGGUUUGAACUUGCAUAAACUUGGUGCCUAUGAUUAGGG